rnacentral:rRNA from 1 species
GUGAAGAAGACUCCAUGGUUAAUACCCAUGGACGAUGACAUUAGCUGCAGAAUAAGCACCGGCUAACUCUGUGCCAGCAGCCGCGGUAAUACAGAGGGUGCAAGCGUUAAUCGGAAUUACUGGGCGUAAAGCGAGCGUAGGUGGCUUGAUAAGUCAGAUGUGAAAGCCCCGGGCUUAACCUGGGAACGGCAUCUGAUACUGUUAGGCUAGAGUAGGUGAGAGGAAGGUAGAAUUCCAGGUGUAGCGGUGAAAUGCGUAGAGAUCUGGAGGAAUACCGAUGGCGAAGGCAGCCUUCUGGCAUCAUACUGACACUGAGGUUCGAAAGCGUGGGUAGCAAACAGGAUUAGAUACCCUGGUAGUCCACGCCGUAAACGAUGUCUACUAGUCGUUGGGUCCCUUGAGGACUUAGUGACGCAGCUAACGCAAUAAGUAGACCGCCUGGGGAGUACGGCCGCAAGGUUAAAACUCAAAUGAAUUGACGGGGGCCCGCACAAGCGGUGGAGCAUGUGGUUUAAUUCGAUGCAACGCGAAGAACCUUACCUGGUCUUGACAUAUCUAGAAUCCUGCAGAGAUGCGGGAGUGCCUUCGGGAAUUAGAAUACAGGUGCUGCAUGGCUGUCGUCAGCUCGUGUCGUGAGAUGUUGGGUUAAGUCCCGCAACGAGCGCAACCCUUGUCCUUAGUUACCAGCGGUUUGGCCGGGAACUCUAAGGAUACUGCCAGUGACAAACUGGAGGAAGGCGGGGACGACGUCAAGUCAUCAUGGCCCUUACGACCAGGGCUACACACGUGCUACAAUGGUAGGUACAGAGGGCAGCUACACAGCGAUGUGAUGCGAAUCUCAAAAAGCCUAUCGUAGUCCAGAUUGGAGUCUGCAACUCGACUCCAUGAAGUAGGAAUCGCUAGUAAUCGCGGAUCAGAAUGCCGCGGUGAAUACGUUCCCGGGCCUUGUACACAC